AACAUUUUAAACUUGAGGACAGA
rnacentral:miRNA from 1 species